GAAAGGCUCGGAGGGGCCGCAGGGGACGGGCUCGGGUGCCCGGAGAGGCUCCGAGAAGCCGGAGAAUUCAGAAUUGGCGCGGGUUGUCAGCCUGUCACCUGCCCCCCGGCGUUCACGAGGUCCCGCCGGCUUGCUCUGUCCUCUCUCACGGAGACACUCUAGCGCAUGAGGCGAUGGCCGGCCGCCCUCGGCCUGCGUGUACAGGCCGUAAGCUCCGCCUGGGAUGUAUAUUUAUUGCUUCAUUACCCGUCGGAUGAGCGCACUGUUUAUGGUGAGUUCUGAAGCCAGAAGACAAGUCCCCUCAGGAUCCAAAACAGAACUCUGAAAGAAAGAAGCACUGAAAUCAAGCUGCCAGUGACACAUGCAUGGAAAGGGAUAAAGUGAGACCUUAUCUGGGUAGAGAAUCAUGGAGGUUGGAAGGAGAAAGGAAGUUUGGAAGUAUGUGAAGCUGCAAAGGUGCUCAGGUAUAUUGAUGUAAAAGAGAAGAAAGGGAGAAGGGCAGGUGGUAUGGCAGGCUCGUGGGACAUAUGAUGGCAUAGGAAAAGAAGAGGGAUAAUGAGUGAAGCCAUUGCCACAAAUAGAGAAGAAAAUGUGGAAGAGCUGGAACAGUCAUUUGAAAAGCUGAAGACUUAUGGAUGGUUUUCAGGAGCGUGGAGAUAUGGGGAAUGUUGAACGCAUGAGCAGCUGCAGCUUAGCCAGGAUCAGGGGUUCCUGUGAGCCAGGAAAUCAGAGGUCUCAACAGGUUUUUAGUGUUUUUAGGUGUAAACACCCUUUGUUUACAUAGCAGUGUGGAUGGGAGGGGAGGCAGUACCCACUGCUUGGGAUACGGGAACAGUUUUCCUGACAGCCUGGAACUGUUCUGUCCAGCAGCCCAGUCACAGCAGUCACUGUGUAGGUAAAGUUUUUCCCAAAAGCCCCUGGAAGGUCUGAAAAUCUACAGCCCCCAUACAAAUUAAAAUUGAUAGCUGGAGGUGAAUAGUUGGAAGGAGGGCAAGGUAAUUCUAGCAGAGAAGCUUGAAAAUAGUGAUCUUAUUUGCAGGCAGAUGACCAAGUCUGCACGGUCCUUAUUUAAUGAUUGUAUUUCAAGUAAUAAAGCCAGCAGUGAAAAACAAGUGGUUAAGUGUUACAAUGCUGGGUUGAGUCACUGAAUUGCCUGUGACCUCAGAGCUAAGACUAACCUGAACUGUGAGGAUGAUCCUAAUUGCAACCUUACUAUUAGAUAUGCAAUUACCAAUCUAUAAUUACGAGCUAAAUUGUAGAAUACUGACUGUUCCUCUGUUUACAGUGAAAUCUGCCUCCUGUAUAUAAGAACAUUACUAGAUGUGACGAAAUUAAAAAUAAAUUCAUUCUUCAGUGAACAAAAUAUAUCUUCAAAUACUUUCUCUGAAAAAGUAAGUAAAGCACUCAGUCGUGUUUCAUGAAAAGUAAUGAUUAUUGUUAAAUACUAAUUACUCUUACUGUGAAAAAGCACAAAUAGCAGCAGAAGGUUAAUCGUGGUGGCAACUCUGUGAUAACUCAACAAUCUUAAAGACAGGAAUGCCAAAAGGAAACAUUUUACUAAUAAUCCUGGAUUAAAGAUAUCCUGUCAGCCUUAUGCAUGAGAUGAAUUCUUUCUAACAGAACAUUUCAUAGAUAAGGGGGCCAUCCUAAAGGCUUGUGAGGCUCUGGAUGCAGUAUCUGCCCGUUUCUUAUGCCACCCCUGUGAAGCAGUCUGACACGCUGGACUUCCUGCUGCUGUACAGAGGUAUCUGCGUGGCAUGUCCAGCGAGGUCAGGCUUCCUGAGAGGCAGGAUCCCAUAAGUCUGCAACAGGUUCAGGGCCUCUGACAGAGAGCACCACGUGGCUUGGCUGUGUGCUUGCAUGACUGCUAAAUGCAGUGUAAGACAGGCAGCAGGAGACCAGGGGAGAUGAGGAGCAGGCUUCUCUUUUCAGUCACAGCUUGCUCUUUGAAGUGUCACUGCGACAUGAAACUGCACCAUGAGUCAGGAGCUCCUGAGCAGUACUUGUGGCCUCCAUAUUGGUGUAGAUACCCUGAAUUAGCUGCAGGGUUGGUAUCUGUCAGGUACAAAGAGAGGUAGCUGGGUGCUUGAGAGGUUCAAUUAAUAAUGUUUGCUAACUAUUAAUUAAGUGUUUUAAGUUUGAAAGUGUUGAUUAGAAAUGCCUGAACGUUGAAUUAUUGUGUUCUAGUUGUACACUGUCACAUGUCCCAAAGGUUCAUUCAACUGAUAAACAACAGGGCCAGAGGUUUAUUUAUCCAAAAAUCAAGACAGCACAGCAUGCGGCCCCAGUGUCUUACUGAAACCUGAUAUCAUGAUGCAAUUAUUUAUUUUUGAGGAGAGAAUCUUUGAUUUGACAGAGCUGUUUUGCCUCCUGCAGAUACAAUCUGUCAUGAUUCAGUUUUGCAUAUAUAAUAAAAGUAUAUUUGCAAUGUCAA